UUCCAAAAAUUCGGCCUAGCGAUGUCCUGCUACAUCAGAAUGAGAAGAACUUUCUUACAAGGUCUCCUUUGGCUGUACCUUUUUGGAUUUGGUUUUAUGGCCCUAUCACUUGAACCUGGA